UGGGGAAUAUUGGGCAAUGGAGGAAACUCUGACCCAGCGACGCCGCGUGAGGGAUGAAGGCCUUCGGGUUGUAAACCUCUUUCAGUAGGGAAGAAGCGAAAGUGACGGUACCUACAGAAGAAGCACCGGCUAACUACGUG
rnacentral:rRNA from 1 species